rnacentral:rRNA from 1 species
AGCAGCCGCGGUAAUUCCAGCUCCAAUAGCGUAUAUUAAAGUUGUUGCAGUUAAAAAGCUCGUAGUUGAAUUUCGGGGUUAGUAGGUUGGUCGUGCCACUGGUAUGUACUGGUUCUACUGAUCCCUCCUUCUUGUAGAACCGUAAUGCCAUUCACUUGGUGUUGCGGGGAAACAGGACUGUUACUUUGAAAAAAUUAGAGUGUUUAAAGCAGGCUAACGCUUGAAUACAUUAGCAUGGAAUAAUGAAAUAGGACGUUCGAUCCUAUUUUGUUGGUUUCUAGGAUUGACGUAAUGAUUAAUAGGGAUAGUUGGGGGCAUUAGUAUUCAAUUGUCAGAGGUGAAAUUCUUGGAUUUAUUGAAGACUGACUACUGCGAAAGCAUUUGCCAAGGAUGUUUUCAUUAAUCAAGAACGAAAGUUAGGGGAUCGAAGACGAUCAGAUACCGUCGUAGUCUUAACCAUAAACUAUGACCGACUAGGGAUCGGGAUGAUUGUUAAUUUUUAAUGACUCAUUCGGCGCCU